CCUCUGCGUCUGCAGGAGGGAGGACAGCAGUCCAAUGUCCCUGUCACACAAAGCUUCCCUAUAUGGGAUCUGCUGGGCUCACAGGGACUGGUAAGGGCCCCUGUGUCACAGCAAGGACCUCUGCUGCUCUCUGUCCUGUAACCAGGGUGUAAAGCGAAACAAUCUGAUCCCAUUGCUUCCUGGAGCGAUGGCUUCCCCUGUCCCCUCCAGGCUCACCUGUGAGGCUUCUUCCCUCACAGCCACCUGCAGCUUUGCUCCCACCUUUCCUCAGCUGGCCAGGGGGGACCCCAGAGCAGGAAUGAUCAAUAUUGAUCUUCACUUAUGGAUGCGAGUCUGCAUACGAGAUGAUUAAUCUGAAGACCUCACUCUGGAAAAACAGCCAGUGAGUUCUCGAAGAUACAAGAAUGCAGUUCAUUAUUUUAAAAGUUAUUAUCUUUCUAGAUGUAAUAGGUCCGCAGAAAAAUCUGUAGAAUGUACAUGGAACAGCUUACUGACUGGUAAAUGAGCAUCUGCAUACUUGCCACCAAAUCAAGAAACAGCAUAUUGGACCCAAGUUCACAGCACAGCCUCCCUCCCGACAAAGGUUCCGCUGACUCCGUUCAAAACCCCUUCCUCGUGUUUAUACUCCAUCACGGAGGCACGCACCCCGCGACCUGCCUACGCUCUGAGCGUUAUCUGAAUGGAACCACAGGGCGUGACCACUGCAUGUCGCCUCUUUUCGUCUGACUUGAUGUCUGGUCUUGGACGUGUCUCUAGUCCCCUCACUUUCACUGCUGGGCACUAGGCGUUGUUUGCACAUGCCGCCGUUCGUCCGUUUGACCGACGGUGAGCUUUGGUGGUUGCUAGUUUGGGGAUGUCGUGAAUAAAGCUGUUGUGGGCCUGCUUAGGCGCAUGCACAGGUGUGUGCACAGGUGCACUGGGGCGUGCAUCUGUGGGAUCCUGAUAUAUACGUUCAGCUUUUUGUGCCCUUUUUAAAAUUAACAUGAUUUACAGAAAUGCAAUAACAAUCACUGAAUUUAAGUGUACAAUUUAAUGAGUUUAGACUGCCAUAUGUACUGGUGUUAAGUCGCCGCCACAGCCGUGACAGGACAAUUCCAGUCUCCCCAAAACUUCCCCUCCUCCAACCCAGGUUUUACAAAACUGCCCGUCUGCUUUCUGUCGCUAUAGUUUUCAUAUAAAAUUUCAUACGCCUGGAAUCAGAAAGUAUGUAGUCUUUAUGUCUGGCUGCUUUCCCCUGGUGUAAUGCUUAGGUUUUAUUCAUUCGUUUCUCCUGCUCAGUGGAAUGCCACCAAAAUGUGUUUAUCUGUUCACAAAAUGGAAGUAUUCGGUUCUUUCCAUUUGGACUUAAUGUGAAUAAAGCUAUUCGUAUUCAGGUA